rnacentral:rRNA from 1 species
GGGUCAUUAGGUUGGUCGUGCCACCGGUACGUACUGGUCUCACUGAUUCCUCCUUCCUGAAGAACCGUAAUGCCAUUAAUUUGGUGUUGCGGGGAAACAGGACUGUUACUUUGAAAAAAUUAGAGUGUUUAAAGCAAGCUAACGCUUGAAUACAUUAGCAUGGAAUAAUGAAAUAGGACGAUCGAUCCUAUUUUGUUUGUUUCUAGGAUUGACGUA